GUUCCCUCCCUGUUGUUUGUUUGGCCUGAGGCGACCCAACACUGGAGGCUACCCGGGCUCUUUGGUGGGGCUAAUGGCCGACUUCAGGAGGCCUCAUGCCAAGGAGUACUUCCCAGAACUGCUGCCAGUGUCCUUGUCCUCACGGUGAGACACAGCCACCCCCUGCCUCUGCAGGAGACCCUCCAACACUCGCAGUGUCUUCCUGUCGAUGAUUGCUUAGCAGUUAAUUGUGAUUCUGGUGCUCUCGCAAGAGAGAGUGAGAGCACGUCCCUCUACUCUGCCAUCUUGAACCAAAAACCUCAGCAUUUCUAAAAUUAAGAAAACAGCUGAUCACUUUCGCUUGUGGAAGCCAACGGGCUCUGGUUCCUGCCCCUUCAUUUUGUCCUGGUUGUCUGUGGAGACUCAGAGGAUGUUGAUACGGCACCUCAACUAUGGAGGGGAAGAGAACGUGCCAGAAGGUCCUCCUCCUCUUGUGCCAGCUCCGCCUCCCAAGUCUCUUCAAAAGUCAAGGCAUCUGGGACUUCCCUGGCGGUCUAGUGGUUAAGACUUUGCCUUCCAAUGCAGGGGGUGCGGGUUUGAUCCCUGGUUGGGGAGCUAAGAUCCCACAUGCCUUGCGGCCAAAAACCCAAAACAUAAAACAGAAGCAAUAUUGUAACAAA